UACAGAGGGUGCAAGCGUUGUUCGGAAUUAUUGGGCGUAAAGCGCGUGUAGGCGGCUUUGCAAGUCGGGUGUGAAAGCCCUCAGCUCAACUGAGGAAGUGCGCCCGAAACUGCAGAGCUUGAGUGCCGGAGAGGGUGGCGGAAUUCCCCAAGUAGAGGUGAAAUUCGUAGAUAUCGGGAGGAACACCAGUGGCGAAGGCGGCGACCUGGGCUGACACUGACGCUGAGGUUCGAAAGCGUGGGGAGCAAACAGG
rnacentral:rRNA from 1 species